rnacentral:rRNA from 1 species
AUUGAACGCUGGCGGCAUGCUUUACACAUGCAAGUCGAACGGUAACAGGCCGCAAGGUGCUGACGAGUGGCGAACGGGUGAGUAAUGCAUCGGAACGUGCCCAGUCGUGGGGGAUAACACAGAGAAAGCUGUGCUAAUACCGCAUACGAUCUGUGGAUGAAAGCGGGGGACCGAAAGGCCUCGCGCGAUUGGAGCGGCCGAUGUCAGAUUAGGUAGUUGGUGGGGUAAAGGCUCACCAAGCCAACGAUGUGUAGCUGGUGUGAGAGGACGACCAGCCACACUGGGACUGAGACACGGCCCAGGCUCCUAAGGGAGGCAGCAGUGGGGAAUUUUGGACAAUGGGCGCAAGCCUGAUCCAGCAAUGCCGCGUGCAGGAAGGAGGCCUUCGGGUUGUAAACUGCUUUUGUACGGAGCGAAAAGGCUCUCUCUAAUACAGGGGGCUCAUGACGGUACCGUAAGAAUAAGCACCGGCUAACUACGUGCCAGCCGCCGCCGUAAUAC